GAUGAAGAACGUAGCGAAACGCGAUAUGUAAUGUGAAUUGCAGAAUUCAGUGAAUCAUCGAAUCUUUGAACGCACAUUGCGCCCCUUGGUAUUCCGGGGGGCAUGCCUGUUCGAGCGUCAUUUCAACCCUCAAGCUCUGCUUGGUAUUGGGCUCCGUCCUCCUCGGACGCGCCUCAAAGACCUCGGCGGUGGCGUCUUGCCUCAAGCGUAGUAGAAACACCUCGCUUUGGAGUGCAUGGCGUCGCCCGCCGGACGAAACCUUUUGUAUUUUCUCAAGGUUGACCUCGGAUCAGGUAGGGAUACCCGCUGAACUUAAGCAUAUCAAUAAGCGGAGGA
rnacentral:misc_RNA from 1 species